UACGGGGGGGCGCAAGCGUUGUCCGGAAUUAUUGGGCGUAAAGAGCUCGUAGGCGGCCUGUUGCGUCCGCUGUGAAAGCCCGGGGCUUAACCCCGGGUCGGCAGUGGAUACGGGCAGGCUAGAGGUAGGUAGGGGAGAAUGGAAUUCCAGGUGUAGCGGUGAAAUGCGUAGAUAUCUGGAGGAACACCGGUGGCGAAGGCGGCAUCCUGGACCAACACUGACACUGAGGAGCGAAAGCCAGGGGAGCAAACGGG
rnacentral:rRNA from 1 species